AUUGAACGCUGGCGGCAUGCCUUACACAUGCAAGUCGAACGGCAGCACGGGAGCAAUCCUGGUGGCGAGUGGCGAACGGGUGAGUAAUGUAUCGGAACGUACCUUUCAGUGGGGGAUAACGUAGCGAAAGUUACGCUAAUACCGCAUAUUCUGUGAGCAGGAAAGCAGGGGAUCGCAAGACCUUGCGCUGAUUGAGCGGCCGAUAUCAGAUUAGCUAGUUGGUGAGGUAAAGGCUCACCAAGGCGACGAUCUGUAGCGGGUCUGAGAGGAUGAUCCGCCACACUGGAACUGAGACACGGUCCAGACUCCUACGGGAGGCAGCAGUGGGGAAUUUUGGACAAUGGGCGCAAGCCUGAUCCAGCCAUGCCGCGUGAGUGAAGAAGGCCUUCGGGUUGUAAAGCUCUUUCAGCCGGGAAGAAAACGCAUGGGUUAAUACCCUGUGUGGAUGACGGUACCGGAAUAAGAAGCACCGGCUAACUACGUG
rnacentral:rRNA from 1 species